rnacentral:rRNA from 1 species
UGGGGAAUUUUGGACAAUGGGCGCAAGCCUGAUCCAGCAAUGCCGCGUGAGUGAAGAAGGCCUUCGGGUUGUAAAGCUCUUUUGUCAGGGAAGAAACGGUGGGAGCUAAUAUCUCCUACUAAUGACGGUACCUGAAGAAUAAGCACCGGCUAACUACGUGCCAGCAGCCGCGGUAAUACGUAGGGUGCAAGCGUUAAUCGGAAUUACUGGGCGUAAAGCGUGCGCAGGCGGUUUUGUAAGUCUGUCGUGAAAGCCCCGGGCUCAACCUGGGAAUUGCGAUGGAGACUGCAAGGCUUGAAUCUGGCAGAGGGGGGUAGAAUUCCACGUGUAGCAGUGAAAUGCGUAGAGAUGUGGAGGAACACCGAUGGCGAAGGCAGCCCCCUGGGUCAAGAUUGACGCUCAUGCACGAAAGCGUGGGGAGCAAACAGGAUUAGAUACCCACGUAGUCCCUGAGCGGGCUGGCAAGGCGCAU